rnacentral:rRNA from 1 species
AAUAGAUACCAGGUAGUCCACGCCGUAAACGAUGAGUGCUAAGUGUUAGAGGGUUUCCGCCCUUUAGUGCUGCAGCUAACGCAUUAAGCACUCCGCCUGGGGAGUACGGUCGCAAGACUGAAACUCAAAGGAAUUGACGGGGGCCCGCACAAGCGGUGGAGCAUGUGGUUUAAUUCGAAGCAACGCGAAGAACCUUACCAGGUCUUGACAUCCUCUGACAACUCUAGAGAUAGAGCGUUCCCCUUCGGGGGACAGAGUGACAGGUGGUGCAUGGUUGUCGUCAGCUCGUGUCGUGAGAUGUUGGGUUAAGUCCCGCAACGAGCGCAACCCUUGAUCUUAGUUGCCAGCAUUCAGUUGGGCACUCUAAGGUGACUGCCGGUGACAAACCGGAGGAAGGUGGGGAUGACGUCAAAUCAUCAUGCCCCUUAUGACCUGGGCUACACACGUGCUACAAUGGAUGGUACAAAGGGCUGCAAGACCGCGAGGUCAAGCCAAUCCCAUAAAACCAUUCUCAGUUCGGAUUGGUA